rnacentral:RNase_P_RNA from 1 species
UAUCUACAAGAGGUGAUCGCUUAAUAUACUAUUAAGAGGAAAGUCCGAACUCCUCGUGGAAACACGGUCGCGGUAGUGGGUAACACCCACCCAAUAUGUGGUGACACAUGUUGCGGGAAAGUGCCACAGAGACUAUACUAUUUUACUGCAUUGCAGUGAAAAAAAGGUGAAAAGUGUGUACAUGUGUGUAUUCCAUUCGCAUAUGCAUGGAAUGCACGCUAGUACACUCGCGUACUGGCAACAGUAUUGCGUGGUAAACCCUGCCUGGAGCAAGAGCAGCCCUUUUCAACACUUGUUGAAAUUGGAAAAGUUCGUUCGCAAAGAAUACCACAGUAAUGUGGUAUCAAGAUACAUGAUCAUCCUCUGGAUAAAACUAGAGAACAGAAUUCGGCUUAUUCUUGUAGAUAUUAA